UUAGCCGAGGUCACUGAUGGAAUAGUGGCUCGAAGGGUGUAGGAGGAGUGGUAGGCAAAUCCGCCACUCGAAACUCCGAGACCUGACAGGCUCCCGAAGCUCUUCGGAGCGGAGGGGGAAUCGGUGAUACCGUCGGGCCGAGAAAAGCCUCUAAGCCGUUUGAGCUGUUAGUAGCCCGUACCGCAAACCGACACAGGUAGGCGGGAUGAGUAUUCUAAGGCGCGUGGAAGAACCCUCCCUAAGGAACUCGGCAAACUGGCACCGUAACUUCGGGAUAAGGUGUGCCCCGAGUAGGUGAAGGAGCUUAGCCUCCGGAGCCGAAAGGGGUCGCAGCGCAGCGCUCUUGCCGACUGUUUACCAAAAACACAGCACUCUGCUAACUCGUAAGAGGAAGUAUAGGGUGUGACGCCUGCCCGGUGCCGGAAGGUUAAGGGGAUCCGUUAGCCGUAAGGCGAAGCGGUGAACCGAAGCCCCGGUAAACGGCGGCCGUAACUAUAACGGUCCUAAGGUAGCGAAAUUCCUUGUCGGUUAAAUACCGACCUGCAUGAAUGGCGUAACGAGAUGGGAGCUGUCUCAACCAGGGAUCCAGUGAAAUUGUAGUGGAGGUGAAAAUUCCUCCUACCCGCGGCAAGACGGAAAGACCCCGUGCACCUUUACUAUAGCUUGACACUGCAAUUGGGAUAUAUUUGUGCAGGAUAGGUGGGAGGCUUUGAUGGUGUGGCGCUAGCUGCAUCGGAGCCAUCCUUGAGAUACCACCCUUAUAUAUUCUGAUUGCUAACUUGCGCCAGUUAUCCUGGCGGAGGACAAUGUCUGGUGGGUAGUUUGACUGGGGCGGUCGCCUCCUAAAAAGUAACGGAGGCUUACAAAGGUUGGCUCAUAUCGGUUGGAAAUCGAUAGCAGAGUAUAAUGGUACAAGCCAGCUUAACUGCGAGACGUACAUGUCGAGCAGAGACGAAAGUCGGUCAUAGUGAUCCGGUGGUUCUGUGUGGAAGGGCCAUCGCUCAAAGGAUAAAAGGUACGCCGGGGAUAACAGGCUGAUCUCCCCCAAGAGCUCACAUCGACGGGGAGGUUUGGCACCUCGAUGUCGGCUCAUCGCAUCCUGGGGCUG
rnacentral:rRNA from 1 species